GGUGAUAGUCCCGUACACGAAAAUGCACAGGUUGUGAACUCGAAGAGUAGGGCGGGACACGUGGUAUCCUGUCUGAAUAUGGGGGGACCAUCCUCCAAGGCUAAAUACUCCUGACUGACCGAUAGUGAACCAGUACCGUGAGGGAAAGGCGAAAAGAACCCCGGCGAGGGGAGUGAAAAAGAACCUGAAACCGUGUACGUACAAGCAGUGGGAGCACCUUCGGGUGUGACUGCGUACCUUUUGUAUAAUGGGUCAGCGACUUAUAUUCUGUAGCAAGGUUAACCGUAUAGGGGAGCCGAAGGGAAACCGAGUCUUAACUGGGCGUUAAGUUGCAGGGUAUAGACCCGAAACCCGGUGAUCUAGCCAUGGGCAGGUUGAAGGUUGGGUAACACUAACUGGAGGACCGAACCGACUAAUGUUGAAAAAUUAGCGGAUGACCUGUGGCUGGGGGUGAAAGGCCAAUCAAACCGGGAGAUAGCUGGUUCUCCCCGAAAGCUAUUUAGGUAGCGCCUCGUGAACUCAUCUUCGGGGGUAGAGCACUGUUUCGGCUAGGGGGCCAUCCCGGCUUACCAACCCGAUGCAAACUACGAAUACCGAAGAAUGUUAUCACGGGAGACACACGGCGGGUGCUAACGUCCGUCGUGAAGAGGGAAACAACCCAGACCGCCAGCUAAGGUCCCAAAGUCAUGGUUAAGUGGGAAACGAUGUGGGAAGGCACAGACAGCCAGGAUGUUGGCUUAGAAGCAGCCAUCAUUUAAAGAAAGCGUAAUAGCUCACUGGUCGAGUCGGCCUGCGCGGAAGAUGUAACGGGGCUAAACCAUGCACCGAAGCUGCGGCAGCGACACUUAUGUGUUGUUGGGUAGGGGAGCGUUCUGUAAGCCGUUGAAGGUGUGCUGUGAGGCAUGCUGGAGGUAUCAGAAGUGCGAAUGCUGACAUAAGUAACGAUAAAGCGGGUGAAAAGCCCGCUCGCCGGAAGACCAAGGGUUCCUGUCCAACGUUAAUCGGGGCAGGGUGAGUCGACCCCUAAGGCGAGGCCGAAAGGCGUAGUCGAUGGGAAACAGGUUAAUAUUCCUGUACUUGGUGUUACUGCGAAGGGGGGACGGAGAAGGCUAUGUCAGCCGGGCGACGGUUGUCCCGGUUUAAGCAUGUAGGCGGAGGUUCCAGGUAAAUCCGGUACCUUGUUAACGCUGAGGUGUGAUGACGAGGCACUACGGUGCUGAAGUGAUAAAUGCCCUGCUUCCAGGAAAAGCCUCUAAGCAUCAGGUAACACGAAAUCGUACCCCAAACCGACACAGGUGGUCAGGUAGAGAAUACCAAGGCGCUUGAGAGAACUCGGGUGAAGGAACUAGGCAAAAUGGUGCCGUAACUUCGGGAGAAGGCACGCUGAUGUGUAGGUGAAGCCCCUGCGGGCGGAGCUGAAAUCAGUCGAAGAUACCAGCUGGCUGCAACUGUUUAUUAAAAACACAGCACUGUGCAAACACGAAAGUGGACGUAUACGGUGUGACGCCUGCCCGGUGCCGGAAGGUUAAUUGAUGGGGUUAGCGGCAACGCGAAGCUCUUGAUCGAAGCCCCGGUAAACGGCGGCCGUAACUAUAACGGUCCUAAGGUAGCGAAAUUCCUUGUCGGGUAAGUUCCGACCUGCACGAAUGGCGUAAUGAUGGCCAGGCUGUCUCCACCCGAGACUCAGUGAAAUUGAACUCGCUGUGAAGAUGCAGUGUACCCGCGGCAAGACGGAAAGACCCCGUGAACCUUUACUAUAGCUUGACACUGAACACUGGUCCUUGAUGUGUAGGAUAGGUGGGAGGCUUUGAAGCGUGGACGCCAGUCUGCGUGGAGCCAUCCUUGAAAUACCACCCUUUAAUGGCUGGUGUUCUAACGUAGACCCGUGAUCCGGGUUGCGGACAGUGUCUGGUGGGUAGUUUGACUGGGGCGGUCUCCUCCCAAAGAGUAACGGAGGAGCACGAAGGUUGGCUAAUCCUGGUCGGACAUCAGGAGGUUAGUGCAAUGGCAUAAGCCAGCUUGACUGCGAGCGUGACGGCGCGAGCAGGUGCGAAAGCAGGUCAUAGUGAUCCGGUGGUUCUGAAUGGAAGGGCCAUCGCUCAACGGAUAAAAGGUACUCCGGGGAUAACAGGCUGAUACCGCCCAAGAGUUCAUAUCGACGGCGGUGUUUGGCACCUCGAUGUCGGCUCAUCACAUCCUGGGGCUGAAGUAGGUCCCAAGGGUAUGGCUGUUCGCCAUUUAAAGUGGUACGCGAGCUGGGUUUAGAACGUCGUGAGACAGUUCGGUCCCUAUCUGCCGUGGGCGCUGGAGAAUUGAGGGGGGCUGCUCCUAGUACGAGAGGACCGGAGUGGACGCAUCACUGGUGUUCGGGUUGUCAUGCCAAUGGCACUGCCCGGUAGCUAAAUGCGGAAGAGAUAAGUGCUGAAAGCAUCUAAGCACGAAACUUGCCCCGAGAUGAGUUCUCCCUGAGACCUUGAGUCUCCUGAAGGAACGUUGAAGACGACGACGUUGAUAGGUCGGGUGUGUAAGCGCAGCGAUGCGUUGAGCUAACCGAUACUAAUGAACCGUGAGGCUUAACCUU
rnacentral:rRNA from 2 species